GGGACUUCCGGUAUUUGAAAAAAAUAUGACCAGACGGGGAAAGAAGAAAAGGACCUAUCCAACAAGUUCAAAGUAACUUUUGUCCUGUUUUUGAAGAAAAAUUAUGAUUUACAACAGCAUUCGUAUCUAUGAAUGAUAUGUUUUUUAGCGAUACACAUUGGAUUUAUCAGGGCACCGUAUCAGCAGGUCUUCUUCCGAUGGCUGGCUUUUCAGCUGUACCAAGGAUCCCACCACCAGAAACUCCUGUAGGCAUUACUCCAGGACUAGCCAUGACUACUAGAGUACUAAAAGCCUCGAUGCUUUGCAGAUUGAGAAUUCCACCAACUGGCCAUGAUGAAGAUGGUCUUAGUGACCCAGAGAGUAGUUUAUACAUGUAUUGUCUUUAUUUUUGAAAUAUUAAGUUCAAAUGUAUCAGAGUACAACUUUAUUAUAUUUUCUUUGUUUAAUAAGAAUUUUUAAGAUAUUAAUGAAAUUUCAAUUGACAUGAUUGAUAAGUGGAGUUUAAGAAAGCUAUUUGACUACAUGUAUAUGAUAUAUAAACAGAUAAAUAUAGCUAGAUAACAUGGAAACUUUCAAUUUGUAGAAGUUUCGUCAUACACUUCUUUGCCACAUUAAGUACCGGUAGUAAACAUGACGUUCAAUUUGUUUUUCAUAACAUUUGAUGCAGUGUGAUGAAACUUUGAUAGCUACUUAUGUGGAUACAUUUCCUGUUGUAUAGUU